rnacentral:rRNA from 1 species
AUGGUAAAGUGGUCUGAGAUCUGUAAGCCUAAAGACCAGGGAGGCCUUGGGGUUAUUUCUUCCAAGCGGAUGAAUAUUGCCCUCCUAUACAAGUGGCUUUGGCGGAUUCAGACCGAUGAGGGGGGUCUAUGGCUUGAGAUUAUCCACGCGAAGUACCUUCACGGGCAGCCACUGGCUUUCGCCCCUAGAUCCGGUGGUUCC